rnacentral:rRNA from 1 species
ACUCAAAGGAAUAGACGGGGCCCCGCACAAGCGGCGGAGCAUGCGGAUUAAUUCGAUGCAACGCGAAGAACCUUACCAAGGCUUGAAAUAGGGGGAAAUCCCGGGGAAACUCGGGGUCGGUUUGUCCGGUCCCCUGCAGGUGGUGCAUGGUUGUCGUCAGCUCGUGUCGUGAGAUGUUGGGUUAAGUCCCGCAACGAGCGCAACCCCCGUCCUAUGUUGCCAGCGGGUGAUGCCGGGGACUCAUGGGAGACCGCCGGGGCCAACUCGGAGGAAGGUGGGGAUGACGUCAAAUCAUCAUGCCCCUUAUGUCUUGGGCUUCACGCAUGCUACAAUGGCCGGUACAGAGGGUUGCGAUACUGUGAGGUGGAGCGAAUCCCAAAAAGCCGGUCUCAGUUCGGAUCGGGGUCUGCAACUCGACCCCGUGAAGUCGGAGUCGCUAGUAAUCGCAGAUCAGCAACGCUGCGGUGAAUGCGUUCCCGGGGCUUGCACACACCGCCCGU